rnacentral:rRNA from 1 species
CCUACGGGUGGCAGCAGUGGGGAAUCUUCGACAAUGGGCGAAAGCCUGAUGCAGCAACGCCGCGUGGGUGAAGAAGGUCUUCGGAUCGUAAAACCCUGUUGUUAGAGAAGAAAGUGCGUGCGAGUAACUGUUCACGUUUCGACGGUAUCUAACCACAAAGACACGGCUAACUACGUGCCAGCCGCGGCGGUAAUACGUAGGUGGCGUGCGUUAUCCGGAUUUAUUGGGGUUAAAGGGAACGCAGGAGGUCUUGUAAGUCUGAUGUGAAAGCCUUGGGCUUAACCGGAGUAGUGCAUUGGAAACUGGGAGACUUGAGUGCAGAAGAGGUGAGUGGAACUCCAGGUGUAGCGGUGAAAUGCGUAGAUAUAUGGAAGAACACCAGUGGCGAAAGCGGCGCUCUGGUCUGUAACUGACGCUGAGGUUCGAAAGCGUGGGUAGCAAACAGGAUUAGAUACCCCAGUAGUC